ACCAUUUUCUUCUUCUCCAAACAGGCGCCGGUCAUCUCCUUCUCCCCUUGAAACCAAAAGCCAGCAGCCUCUCCUCUCUCCACCCUCACCUCACAGAAGACAGCCCCUCUCCCUCUCCCUUUCAGCAGCGUCUCCUCCUCCUCCGGACCAUCGAAGCCGUCCUACAACAGCAGCAGCUCCUCCCCACAGACCCGAUCUCCUCAGCACCGCCACCGAACUCCUUCUUCAACCGACCUUCAGUAGCGGCAGUCUCUGCUCACAACCGAAGAAAAAUCUCCACCGCAGCUGCUCCCCGCGCCCAUGAAACACUUCCUUCUCUUCCACACCGAAGCCUUCAAGCACUGGCAGCUCCGUCCACGGCCACGUCCACGGCCACCGCUAAGUCUACAACCAUCAGAUCCGCCGACUGAAGC
rnacentral:lncRNA from 1 species